GACGAACGCUGGCGGCGUGCUUAACACAUGCAAGUCGAACGGAAAGGCCCUGCUUUUGUGGGGUGCUCGAGUGGCGAACGGGUGAGUAACACGUGAGUAACCUGCCCUUGACUUUGGGAUAACUUCAGGAAACUGGGGCUAAUACCGGAUAGGAGCUCCUGCUGCAUGGUGGGGGUUGGAAAGUUUCGGCGGUUGGGGAUGGACUCGCGGCUUAUCAGCUUGUUGGUGGGGUAGUGGCUUACCAAGGCUUUGACGGGUAGCCGUCCUGAGAGGGUGAACGGCCACAUUGGGACUGAGAGACGGCCCAGACUCCUACGGGAGGCAGCAGUGGGGAAUAUUGCACAAUGGGCGGAAGCCUGAUGCAGCAACGCCGCGUGCGGGAUGACGGCCUUCGGGUUGUAAACCGCUUUCGCCUGUGACGAAGCGUGAGUGACGGUAAUGGGUAAAGAAGCACCGGCUAACUACGUG
rnacentral:rRNA from 1 species